CAGUUCUCUUCGGAGCUUCAGGAGCUGCGGCUCCGGUGGCGAGAGGCGGGAUUCAGAAGACCCUGGCCCUGUGGUGUCCCAGUGAGGGUGGUGGUUGUAAAGGCACACAAGCCCCUUCAGAAGGCUCAGGGUGCAAGAGGAGCCCCUUUGCCCAGUUUUCCUCGGAGGUGUAGGGGAUACCAAGCACCCAGCCAGAUCCCCCAAGUGGCCGGACCCAGUCUUUGAAAACCUGAGCCCGGUCCGAGACAGGUGAGAACUGUGAGUGCUACGAACACUAGGUGAUUUCCCCCAGGUGCCCAGUGUGUAAGUAGCGCCCAGUCCAACACCUUGUCAAGUUGUACUGGGGCUGAAGGUGAGGAAUCAGGUGUUCUCUCUCCUUGGGAGUUACUAGCUGGUUUGUGUCUCUGUCAGCUGGUUCAGUUGCUGCAGGCCGUGUGGUUGCCUUCUUGGUAUGGGUCCAGGGGAUGGGGUGACGGCCUCAAGGCCUGGACCCGUGCUGCCUGCACAGAGCUGGAAGGAGGCCUAGUCCUGUGACUUUGCCUGUUAGCCUGGCCUUUAGUGAGCAACUGGGGCAGGGCGGGUUUUUGAGUUAACCAGUGCAUAUGGAAAUCUCAAAAUAAACCUCUUGCCUUCUAGACCAUGAGUUCUUGCUUCCUCUUGCCUCUCUUGGACUUUCCCCAGAGAAAGCAGAAGUGUGAGAAGGGACUGUGACAGCUGCGGGGUACCACCAGGUUCAGGGGCUGGGACACGGGGAGUCAGGCGUGAAGACCUCAUCUCACCUUCCCAGUGUGAAUUGCUUCCCCAGGGCUCAGUGUCUGGGGAGAAAACACUUUGCUGCAGACGUGAGCACCUGAAGGCCAUCUUCCUGGUGAACCCAAGAGUGUAAUCUGGAAAUGCAUUACUGCUUUUUUGACUACCAAUACAUCAUGCAGACAACGUGCACAUAUUUAAAAAUCUGAAAAAUUCUAAAACCUGAAAUGCUUCCAGUACCCAGUGUUUUGAACAAAUCUACUCAAUCUUUAGUGAGCUUUCCCCGUUCUGACUGGGAGUUUUAACCUGCCUACUCUGGGCAUUUGUGUGCGCUAACCUGGAGUUUUAAAAAAAAUAUUUACUUAUUUGAAAGGAAGAGUUAGAGAGAGAGAGAGAGAGAGGCAGGCAGAGGUGGAGAGAGGAUCUUUCAUAUGCUGGUUUACUCUCCCAAAUGACUGCAUGGCCAGGACUGGGUUAGGCUGAAGCCAGGAGCCAUGUGGAUCCAGGGGCCCAGGUGCUUGGGCUAGUCUCUGUUUCCAAGGUGCAUUAGCAUGGAGCUGGCUCUGAA